rnacentral:rRNA from 1 species
UAGUCCACGCCGUAAACGAUGAUAACUAGCUGUUCGGGCCCACAGGGCUUGAGUGGCGCAGCUAACGCAUUAAGUUAUCCGCCUGGGGAGUACGGUCGCAAGAUUAAAACUCAAAGGAAUUGACGGGGGCCUGCACAAGCGGUGGAGCAUGUGGUUUAAUUCGACGCAACGCGCAGAACCUUACCAGCUUUUGACAUCCUGGUCGCGGAUUUGGGAGACCAUUUCCUUCAGUUCGGCCGGACCAGUGACAGGUGCUGCAUGGCUGUCGUCAGCUCGUGUCGUGAGAUGUUGGGUUAAGUCCCGCAACGAGCGCAACCCUCAUCCUUAGUUGCCAUCAGUUCGGCUGGGAACUCUAAGGAAACUGCCGGCGUUAAGCCGGAGGAAGGUGGGGACGACGUCAAGUCAUCAUGGCCCUUAUGUCCUGGGCUACACACGUGCUACAAUGGCAGUGACAAUGGGAUAAUCCAUAAAAGCUGUCUCAGUUCGGAUUGUGGGCUGCAAC